rnacentral:rRNA from 1 species
GGUAAGAGCGUGCCGGGAGCCGGGGGAAGGCGUAGGGGGCGAGCGUUUGGCGAAGUGACGUGGCGUAAAGCGGGGGUAGGCGGGCUGGUAAGUGGGAGGUGAAAGGCGGGUGCUCAACCCCAUGCAGUGCCUCUCAUACUGGCGGUCUUGAGUGCGGCAGGGAGAAGGGGAAUGGCUGGUGUAGCGGUGAAAUGCGUAGAUAUCAGUCGGAACACCGGUGGCGAAGGCGGCUUCUUGGGCCUGGACUGACGCUGACGCGCGAAAGCUGGGGGAGCGAACGGGAUUAGAUACCCAGUAGUC